rnacentral:rRNA from 1 species
GAUGAACGCUGGCGGCGUGCCUAAUACAUGCAAGUCGAGCGAACAGAUGAGGAGCUUGCUCCUCUGACGUUAGCGGCGGACGGGUGAGUAACACGUGGAUAACCUACCUAUAAGACUGGGAUAACUUCGGGAAACCGGAGCUAAUACCGGAUAAUAUAUUGAACCGCAUGGUUCAAUAGUGAAAGACGGUUUUGCUGUCACUUAUAGAUGGAUCCGCGCCGCAUUAGCUAGUUGGUAAGGUAACGGCUUACCAAGGCAACGAUGCGUAGCCGACCUGAGAGGGUGAUCGGCCACACUGGAACUGAGACACGGUCCAGACUCCUACGGGAGGCAGCAGUAGGGAAUCUUCCGCAAUGGGCGAAAGCCUGACGGAGCAACGCCGCGUGGGUGAUGAAGGUCUUCGGAUCGUAAAACUCUGUUAUUAGGGAAGAACAAAUGUGUAAGUAACUAUGCACGUCUUGACGGUACCUGAUCAGAAAGCCACGGCUAACUACGUG